rnacentral:rRNA from 1 species
ACAUACGGCCACAGAUAUAGGGAAAUACGGGAUCUCAUCCACUCUCACGUAGUCAAGCCUAUAAUCACUGGGAAUAGUAGUUGAGUUAGUGAUGAUUAGCGAAUACCCGGUGCUGUAUGUU